rnacentral:rRNA from 1 species
AGUGAACGCUGGCGGUAGGCCUAACACAUGCAAGUCGAACGGCAGCACAGUAAGAGCUUGCUCUUACGGGUGGCGAGUGGCGGACGGGUGAGGAAUACAUCGGAAUCUACUUUUUCGUGGGGGAUAACGUAGGGAAACUUACGAUAAUACCGCAUACGACCUACGGGUGAAAGCAGGGGAUCUUCGGACCUUGCGCGAUUGAAUGAGCCGAUGUCGGAUUAGCUAGUUGGCGGGGUAAAGGCCCACCAAGGCGACGAUCCGUAGCUGGUCUGAGAGGAUGAUCAGCCACACUGGAACUGAGACACGGUCCAGAGUCCUACGGGAGGCAGCAGUGGGGAAUAUUGGACAAUGGGCGGAAGCCUGAUCCAGCCAUACCGCGUGGGUGUAGAAGGCCUUCGGGUUGUAAAGCCCUUUUGUUGGGAAAGAAAAGCAGCAGGUUAAUACCCCGCUGUUCUGACGGGACCCAAAGAAUAAGCACCGGCUAACUUCGUG